GCCCGCCUAGCUCAAUCGGAUAGAGCGUCAGACUCUUAGGUGGGUUACAUCUGAAGGCCGCGAGUUCGACCCUCGCGGUGGGCU